GUGUCUGUCAUUGUAACUGGUGAUAUUCUUACAACCUCUAACUGUAUGUUUAUGAUCUGAAAAGGAACCAGCUUGCUGAGUGGAGGAGUUGAAUCUGUUCUAGUUCAGUGGCACAGUGGAUCAGACUGCAAGAAGGAUUUUCUUCCUCGCUUGGGAUCUGCUAUUGAAUACGUCUCCAUCUCACCUGAUGGCGCUUUCUAUUGCACCUCUCAUGCAGACAACAGAAUUACAAUAAUAAACAGCAACCUGAGAUUUUCCGAAACCAUUCCAGGGCUAGUUAAAGCCAGGGAUAUCAAGACAGGUCUAGUGGUUGAUCCUAGAACCAAAGCUUUGGUCUUGAA